rnacentral:rRNA from 1 species
AUUGAACGCUGGCGGCAUGCCUUACACAUGCAAGUCGAACGGCAUCGCGGGAAAGCUUGCUUUCCUGGCGGCGAGUGGCGAACGGGUGAGUAACACAUCGGAACGUACCGGCUAGUGGGGGAUAACCCGUCGAAAGACGGGCUAAUACCGCAUACGCUCUUAGGAGGAAAGCAGGGGACCUUUGGGCCUUGCGCUAGCCGAGCGGCCGAUGUCCGAUUAGCUAGUUGGUGGGGUAAAGGCCUACCAAGGCGACGAUCGGUAGCGGGUCUGAGAGGACGAUCCGCCACACUGGGACUGAGACACGGCCCAGACUCCUACGGGAGGCAGCAGUGGGGAAUCUUGGACAAUGGGGGCAACCCUGAUCCAGCAAUGCCGCGUGGGUGAAGAAGGCCUUCGGGUUGUAAAGCCCUUUCGGCAGGGAAGAAAUCGGCGGGGGCGAAUAAACCCUGCUGGAUGACGGUACCUGCAAAAAGA